CAGUCGCCGCGGUAAUAUAGAGGGUGCGAGCGUUAAUCGGAUUUACUGGGCGUAAAGCGUGCGUAGGCGGCUUCUUAAGUCGGAUGUGAAAUCCCUGAGCUUAACUUAGGAAUUGCAUUCGAUACUGGGAAGCUAGAGUAUGGGAGAGGAUGGUAGAAUUCCAGGUGUAGCGGUGAAAUGCGUAGAGAUCUGGAGGAAUACCGAUGGCGAAGGCAGCCAUCUGGCCUAAUACUGACGCUGAGGUACGAAAGCAUGGGGAGCAAACAGGAUUAGAUACCCCGGUAGUCCCUGUCUCUUAUAC
rnacentral:rRNA from 1 species